rnacentral:rRNA from 1 species
GGCUCAGGACGAACGCUGGCGGCGUGCCUAAUACAUGCAAGUCGCACGGGCUCCUUCGGGGGUCAGUGGCGGACGGGUGAGUAACACGUGGGUAACCUGCCUCUUAGUCGGGGAUAACGCCUGGAAACGGGUGCUAAUCCCGGAUGGGUUCCCGGGUCGCAUGGCCUGGGAAGGAAAGCUGCCGCAAUGCAGCGCUGAGAGAGGGGCCCGCGGCGCAUUAGCCAGUUGGUGGGGUAACGGCCUACCAAAGCGACGAUGCGUAGCCGACCUGAGAGGGCGCACGGACACACUGGAACUGAAACACGGUCCAGACUCCUACGGGAGGCAGCAGUGGGGAAUUUUGCGCAAUGGGGGAAACCCUGACGCAGCAACGCCGCGUGGAGGAUGGAGUCUCUUGGGACGUAAACUCCUUUCGACCGGGACGAUAAUG